GCCCCGGACGGCUGCCUUGUAAGCGCUAGGCCGCGGGUUCGAUUCCCGCCCGGGGCG
rnacentral:tRNA from 1 species